rnacentral:rRNA from 1 species
GAGCUAGCGGCAGGCAUCACACAUGCAAGUCGAGGGGUAGAGGAAGCUUGCUUCCUUGAGACCGGCGCACGGGUGCGUAACGCGUAUGCAAUCUACCUUGUACAGAGGGAUAGCCCAGAGAAAUUUGGAUUAAUACCUCAUAGUAUUAUUGAAUGGCAUCAUUUAAUGAUUAAAGUUCCAACGGUACAAGAUGAGCAUGCGUCCUAUUAGCUAGUUGGUGUGGUAACGGCAUACCAAGGCUACGAUAGGUAGGGGUCCUGAGAGGGAGAUCCCCCACACUGGUACUGAGACACGGACCAGACUCCUACGGGAGGCAGCAGUGAGGAAUAUUGGACAAUGGGCGCAAGCCUGAUCCAGCCAUGCCGCGUGCAGGAAGACGCAUCUAUGGUGUGUAAACUGCUUUUGUACGGGAAGAAACACUCCCUCGUGAGGGAGCUUGACGGUACCGUAAGAAUAAGGAUCGGCUAACUCCGUGCCAGCAGCCGCGGUAAUACGGAGGAUCCAAGCGUUAUCCGGAAUCAUUGGGUUUAAAGGGUCCGUAGGCGGUUUAAUAAGUCAGUGGUGAAAGCCCAUCGCUCAACGAUGGAACGGCCAUUGAUACUGUUAGACUUGAAUUACAAGGAAGUAACUAGAAUAUGUAGUGUAGCGGUGAAAUGCUUAGAUAUUACAUGGAAUACCAAUUGCGAAGGCAGGUUACUACUUGUGGAUUGACGCUGAUGGACGAAAGCGUGGGGAGCGAACAGGAUUAGAUACCCCUGGUAGUCCACGCCGUAAACGAUGGAUACUAGCUGUUGGGGGUAACUUCAGUGGCUAAGCGAAAGUGAUAAGUAUCCCACCUGGGGAGUACGUUCGCAAGAAUGAAACUCAAAUGAAUUGACGGAAGGGCGAAUUCCAGC